rnacentral:rRNA from 1 species
CUACGGGUGGCACCAGUGGGGAAUAUCGCACAAUGGGCGCAAGCCUGAUGCAGCCAUGCCGCGUGUAUGAAGAAGGCCUUCGGGUUGUAAAGUACUUUCAGCGGGGAGGAAGGGAGUAAAGUUAAUACCUUUGCUCAUUGACGUUACCCGCAGAAGAAGCACCGGCUAACUCCGUGCCAGCAGCCGCGGUAAUACGGAGGGUGCAAGCGUUAAUCGGAAUUACUGGGCGUAAAGCGCACGCAGGCGGUUUGUUAAGUCAGAUGUGAAAUCCCCGGGCUCAACCUGGGAACUGCAUCUGAUACUGGCAAGUUUGAGUCUCGUAGAGGGGGGUAGAAUUUCAGGUGUAGCGGUGAAAUGCGUAGAGAUCUGGAGGAAUACCGGUGGCGAAGGCGGCCCCCUGGACGAAGACUGACGCUCAGGUGCGAAAGCGUGGGGAGCAAACAGGAUUAGAUACCCCAGUAGUC